UAGAACAAUGAAACUCAAUCUGUUUAACAGGAGAAACUAUUUAAAUGGAAUUGUACAGCAAUAAGCUAGGCAAAGUAAAAAAUGGAUCGAUAUAUCGUAUUUAGGGGAUGUGUUCUUAUUUGCGUAUUAUCCAAUUCGUUAUAAUGAAAAGGAUUCUAAAGAGGAAGGAAUGAAAAGGGUCCUUGCUAAUGAGAAAUGAAGAGUUUUACAGAAUGGUGGUGCUUCUUAAAGAACAAAUGAUAGACAAUUCUUGUGUUUUACGUCUCUUAUGAGUUUUAUUUUUAUUAUAUUUUUUUAUAUAUAUUUUUUUUUCUAUUUUUCUAUUUUUUUGCUUCACUACUUAUAGCUUUUCGUACUCUAUUUUUUACUUAUAAUACUUACGAUGGGUAAAAGUUGUAUGAACCAACAUGUGUAUGAACCAAAUGAGCCAACAAUUUCUUUUUUCUUUCAAUUUUUAUUUGUUCAUCUUAAUCAUUAUAUAUACUAUUCUUCUAUCUCAUACUAUUCAUCUGUCUAUCCCUCCAUUCAAACUUACUCCCACUACAAAAUGUCAUUUACAAAGAAAACCGGUUAGCGAUGUCUCGUUCCAAUUCGUUAUAUCAUCUACCUAGAGGCAAUUGAGGAGAAUGCGUUUUUAGACAAAUUUGGAAAAAGUUUUUCCUUAUAGAUAAAUAGAUUCUUGUCAUCUCUGUAAAAUCUUUUCCGCCAUUGCACUCAGCCAUACUGGUUUCUAUUCUUACUUCCGUUUUCCAUUUUUUCCGCUUCCCAACUAACUCAUCAUCCUUUCCCCCAAGGUCCGUUACAUCAUUUACCCCGCAACUGUGGGGUAAAAAAAAGAGCCGAAUUUUCGUUUGGAAUUGCGAAAUUUCCUGUCUCCCACAAGAAGAUCUCAUAAUGUUCAUUUUUGGGGAUAAUUUAGGAAUCAAAUGGGCAUUUAUUGCUUUUCCUGCAUUCUUCUUGAAAGAUGGAUAUUUCUCUUCCUUUUGAUCCGAACGGAUCAAAAGUCGUGCUGUCCACAUAUCGUUGUAUUUCCGUCUGCUAGAAUGCAUCAUCAGCAAUCUAGACGUAUCUUCUUGUUCUCGACAUCCUUUUCCAAAAAUUUUUAAUUCUGAAAUCUAUCAGCAACUCCCUUAAACUCAAAAUAUCGAUUCCUUUAUCUUGAGGAGCGAUGGAUGGGCUAGAAAUUUUGAUUCAAUAGGUAGGUUUUUUUUUUUGCAAUUGCAUUAGUAACUGUUUGGAGGUAAAUUGAAAUAACAAGCAUUACUUAAACCCUUUGCCUUUUUUUUUGAAUCUUUUUUUUUAAAAGGAAUCGUUUGUAGAGUACUUUGAAACUGCAGCCUUAAUUCAACGUCUUCUUGACUACCUUUAUUUUCCAAAUUAUGCGAACCUCGCUUGCAUGCGACUAUACAAAAAAUAAGGAAACCAGUCUCGCAUAAAAUUAAAUUUAAUUUUAAUCUUCAAAGCAUCUCGAUUUCGCGGACUAGGAUCCUGGAUAAAUGCGUUGAAACUAAGCCGAUGGGUUGUAAGAAUAUGGGAAAAGCUGCAAUGUAUCACAUUGAAUAGUCAAUUGAAGGACAUGGAGCUUUGAGCUUGUUGAAUGAAUAAAAGUUUUUGAUGAAUAAACGUUAUUAGACAUGAUUGUAUUUAUCGGGUUUCGACUUUAAAAGUUCAAUCAAUUAAUGAAAGACGUAAAAGCUGGA
rnacentral:lncRNA from 1 species